GAAUACUAUAAGCGCAAGCUCAAAAUUCAAAGAACUUGGCGGCAUUUUAUGAACACUAGAGGAACCUGUCCUGUAAUCGAUAAUCCCCGCUAAACCUUAACUUCUUUCGCCUUCAGCCUAUAUACCGCCGUCAUCAGUUUAUUCCCAAGGACUCUCUAAUAGGCGAAAUCGGCUAAACCCCAAAACAUCAGGUCAAGGUGUAGUCAUAAGAAGUGAUUAGAUGGGUUACAUUUCCUACACAGGAAUCACAGAAAAUCUUUUGAAACAAAGAUAAAAGUAGAAUUUAGCAGUAAGUAAAAAAUAGAGUGUUUU
rnacentral:rRNA from 1 species